UUCUCCUGCUGGACAGCUGAGAGGGAAGGGGACCAUUAUCCAUCAGUGUGAUGCGUUUUGUUAAUCAUUAUGACAGCUAUAAGUGACACUAAGUGGAGCUUGAAAGUUGGUUCUUGACCUUGGAAAUUCAGCCUUAAAAUCAUUACCAGGAUUAGCCCUGUUUGGGACUCAAAAAAAAAAAAAAAAAUUUUAAUUGACAAUAUCCUAGAGCAAUAUAUGGGCAAUGUUUGUCUAACAGAAUGAGUCUGGGCUUGUCUUUAACAACCACCCAAGAUCAAGAAACAUCAGCGUAGCAGCUUGUAAAAAUGCUGUGGGGAAGUUAACCAGAUGAACAUUGGCCAAACCAGUUUGUCCUCAUCACAGCUCUCAUAAAACCAAAAGUUAAAAGUUCUGUCAGCAUAAUGUCCCAGAACAAAUGACAGAACAUUGAAAGCUAAAAAUGUAAUUAGUUUAUCUUGUUUUCUGUGACUAUAACCUUGCUUUGAACUGUGAAUCUUGGUUGAGCAAACCAUUAAAAAGAUUGAGUUCGACACGUCCCUUUAUCUGAAUAAUGGCUGAUCUGCUGCUGAAUGUUUGAUGGUGAAAUGUUUCUCAAAAGACGCGAUUCAAUCUGAACACUUAUCCACUUUAUUAAUGAGGACGCGGGUUUUAGUGAAUACGAAUACUGACAUCACUCUGAUGAUAGGAGUGUUAAAUCACCCACAUUAAUAAAAACACCUCUGCGCUUUUCAUCAGAGAAAAACGACCAUCUUUGUAUCGAUCCCCGUGAGGUGGGUCAAGUCUACCUGCUGGUCCUCGGAUUUGAGGCUGAUCUGGUCUCUGGUCUUCAAACAUGCCAUCUGCGGACUGUAUGUUCCAGUUCACCCCCUGAGCCGCUGCUGCUGCUAAAGCUCCACAAAAAAGGCAGAAAAAUACUCUGACGGCCGACCUCAUGUCGUCGUGUUCACUGUGCAUUUCCUCUGUUGGAAACACUCACCUGUGCAGCAGAUUGGUUUUGUAGAGCUGAAGUCUGUCCCCGCCCGCCGUCUGAUUAACCUGACGGUCCUCCGGCUGUGCCUCGUUCACCCGCUCCCACCUGCUGAGACUCACCUGAGCUUCAUUUUGACAGACACAAGGUUACACUCUGGUUUCCAAAGAUCCCGAGAUCGGUCAGGCUGAAUUCCGGGGACAUUGGUGUAAAAUGAUGCAGCAGACAUGUAGACUAUUUUUAAUCGAAAUGGUUGUAUGGUGCAGCCAUAGAAAACAGACAGGGAGCUGAGGUACCGACGCUACGUUUCAGACUUAUCCUGGAUCAGCUCGGCUCGGCGCGGACCAGCACCCUCAGACACAGGAAGUGUUGUAUCUGAGACCUUUGCUCUGGGUCAGACCGGACUGGAAACAAGUUGGUGAUUCAGUGCGACUGCAGGAGUCGACGGCAGAGAGGGGACGGAGCAGGGAUGUGAUUAUGGGAUGGAUGC